rnacentral:rRNA from 1 species
UACAGAGGGUGCAAGCGUUGCUCGGAUUUACUGGGCGUAAAGCGUACGCAGACGGUGAGAAAGGUCGGAUGUGAAAGCCCCGGGCUCAACCCGGGAACUGCAUCCGAAACCAUCUCGCUAGAGUAUGGGAGAGGGAAGCGGAAUUCCUGGUGUAGAGGUGAAAUUCGUAGAUAUCAGGAGGAACACCGGCGGCGAAGGCGGCUUCCUGGCCCAUUACUGACGUUCAGGUAUGAAGCGUGGGAUAGCAACAGG